AGUGAACGCUGGCGGCAGGCCUAACACAUGCAAGUCGAACGGAAGCACAGUAAGAGCUUGCUCUUACGGGUGGCGAGUGGCGGACGGGUGAGGAAUACAUCGGCAUCUAAUUUUUCGUGGGGGAUAACGUAGGGAAACUUACGCUAAUACCGCAUACGAUCUACGGGUGAAAGCAGGGGAUCUUCGGACCUUGCGCGAUUGAAUGAGCUGAUGUCGGAUUAGCUAGUUGGCGAGGUAAAGGCCCACCAAGGCGACGAUCCGUAGCUGAUCUGAGAGGAUGAUCAGCCACACUGGAACUGAGACACGGUCCAGACUCCUACGGGAGGCAGCAGUGGGGAAUAUUGGACAAUGGGCGCAAGCCUGAUCCAGCCAUACCGCGUGAGUGAAGAAGGCCUUCGGGUUGUAAAGCCCUUUUGUUGGGAAAGAAAAGCUGCAGGUGAAUACCCCGCUGUUCUGACGGUACCCAAAGAGAAAGCACCGGCUAACUUCGUG
rnacentral:rRNA from 1 species